GUGCGUAACACGUGGGCAAUCUGCCUCCAAGACUGGGAUAACCUUCCGAAAGGAGGGCUAAUACCGGAUGUGGUGGUUUAUCGAAUGAUAGAUUGACUGAAGGCGGGGACCGCAAGGCCUGCCACUUGGAGAGGAGCCCGCGUCCCAUCAGCUAGUUGGUGAGGUAACGGCCCACCAAGGCUUACGGGUAGCUGGUCUGAGAGGAUGGUCAGCCACACUGGGACUGAGACACUGCCCAGACUCCUACGGGAGGCUGCAGUCGAGGAUCUUUUGCAAUGGGCGCAAGCCUGACAAAGCGACGCUGCGUGGAGGAUGAGGGCCUUCGGGUUGUAAACUCCUGUCAUCUGGGAAAAACCGUUGCCGAGUGAAUAGCUCGGCGAUUUGAUGGUACCAGAAGAGGAAGCCACGGCUAACUCUGUGCCAGCAGCCGCGGUAAUACAGAGGCGGCAAGCGUUGUUCGGAUUUACUGGGCGUAAAGGGUGCGUAGGUGGUGCGAUGUGUCAAGCGUGAAAUCCCACGGCUCAACCGUGGAACUGCGCCUGAAACUGUCGCGCUAGAGUGCAGAAGAGGAGAGCGGAAUUCUUGGUGUAGCGGUGAAAUGCGUUGAUAUCAAGAAGAACGCCGGUGGCAAGGCGGCUCUCUGGGAUGCAACUGACACUGAGGCACGAAAGCUGGGGGAGCAAACAGGAUUAGAUACCCUGGUAGUCCCAGCCUUAAACGGUGUGAACUUGGUGUGGGGGGAAUUGACCCCCUCCGUACCGCAGCUAACGCGUUAAGUUCACCGCCUGGGGAGUACGGUCGCAAGAUUAGAACUCAAAGAAAUUGACGGGGCCCGCACAAGCGGAGGAGCAUGUGGCUCAAUUCGAUGCAACGCGAAGAACCUUACCAGGGCUUGACAUGUAGGUGCAUCCUCUCUGAAAGGAGGGGAGCCUUCGAGGGUCCUACACAGGUGCUGCAUGGCUGUCGUCAGUUCGUGCCGUGAGGUGUUGGGUUAAGUCCCGCAACGAACGCAACCCCUGUGUCUCAGUUGCCACCCCCAGCGAUGAGUUGGGGAGCACUCUAGACAGACUGCCUGUGCAAGCAGGAGGAAGGUGGGGAUGACGUCAAGUCAGUAUGGCCUUUAUGCCCUGGGCUGCACACGUGCUACAAUGGCCGGUACAGAAGGAUGCGAAACCGCGAGGUGGAGCAAAUCCCUAAAAUCGGCCCCAGUUCAGAUUGAAGUCUGCAACUCGACUUCAUGAAGCCGGAUUCGCUAGUAAUGGCGCAUCAGCUACGGCGCCGUGAAUACGUUCCCGGGCCUUGUACACACCGCCCGUCACAUCAUGAAAGCCGUCUGCACCCGCAGUCGCUGCACCAACCCGCAAGGGAGGAAGGCGCCGAAGGUGUGGGGGGUGAUUGGGAUGAAGUCGGAACAAGGUA
rnacentral:rRNA from 1 species